UACGAGAGGUGCAAGCGUUACUCGGAAUCACUGGGCGUAAAGCGCACGUAGGCGGAUUUGUAUGUCAAUUGUGAAAGCCCAAGGCUCAACCUUGGAAUCGCAGUUGAAACUGCAUUUCUUGAAUACUUGAGAGGGUGGGGGAAUACCUAGUGGAGAAGUGAAAUUCGUAGAGAUUAGGUGGAACACCAGAGGCGAAGGCGCCUGCCUGGCAAUGUAUUGACGCUGAGGUGCGAAAGUGCGGGGAGCAAACAGG
rnacentral:rRNA from 2 species